rnacentral:rRNA from 1 species
AUGGUAAUCAUAGCAGUGCUGCUGCUCUCGGUGUCCAUGGCGGCCGCGGCGCGCGUGCCGGCUGCAGUGGCGCCGGACUGCAACACCACCUGCGGCAACGUCAAGGUGCCGUACCCCUUCGGCAUGGGGCCGCGCCACUGCUACAGGCAGCCGGGGUUCAAGCUUAUCUGCGACCACAGGAGCACGCCCCCGCGGCUGCUCCUCGGCGACAGCGGCGAAUUCGAGGUCGCAGACAUCUUCCUGGAGAACAACACGAUGCGCGUCCGCAGCAGCCACGGGCUGAACGUGAGCACCAGCACCGGGCGUGGCCGGUGGAGCCUCGGGGGUGAUCGCGUCGGCGUGCAACCGCCGCCGUACGUGCUGCUGCCGGACUUCAACGAGUUCAUCCUCACGGGGUGCAACGUCCAGGCGACGCUGGUCCGAGAUGGCAGCAUCGUCAGCGGCUGCGCCUCCUUCUGCUCUGCCACCAACGACGGCGAGCUGGUCACCGGCACGUUUGCUCCCAACGGCACGAUCUGCUCCAACAUCGGUUGCUGCCAGUCGACCAUCCCCAUCGACGACGCCACCUAUGACGUGCGCAUCAGGCGUCUUGACCUCGACGAUGGCGGCCCACGGCCGAAGGUGGACGCAGCAGCCGGCGGUGACUUGCCGUUGAACGUGAUCAUCGCCGAGACGGGCUGGCUGAGCCAAGAUAUUGCCAGCUAUCUCAACAACCCAGAGCAUUCCCCACGGCCGAAAGCAGGGCUGCGGCGGGUCCCCGUCAUUCUCCAGUGGGCCGUGCCGCACGGUGCGGCAACGACUGACCUCGACACACGUGCGUGCCCCGGCGAUGCUGCCCGGAGCAUUUGCAAGAGCACCAACAGUGAGUGCAGAGACGAGGCUUAUUAUACGCUUAGAGGCUACUCAUGCCAAUGCAAGGAGGGUUACCAGGGCAACCCUUACCUCACCGGUGGAUGCCAAGAUAUCAAAGAAUGUGAUAGGAAAGAAGAACAUGGGUGCUUCGGCGAUUGUCAAGAACUACCCGGGAAGUUCAGUUGUAGGUGCCCGAGAGGAACUUACGGGAACCCCAAAGUACGCAAUGGUUGCGUAAGGCCCACCGUAGAAACAGGUCACAACUCGGGAUUAAUCAUUGGUCUAUCGGUUGCUAGUGGCCCAUGCAUUCUAAUUUUGGUGCUUGGAGCACUCCUAUUAAUUCGUGAUUUCGAGCAACGCAAGGUGAAUAUGUUGAGGAGGAAAUGGUUCAGUCAAAAUCGUGGGCAAUUGUUGAAGCAAUUGGUAUCUCAUAGGACAGACAUUGCAGAGAGGAUGAUCAUUCCGUUAGGGGAGCUAGAGAAGGCCACCAACAAUUUCGACCAAGCUCGUAAGGUUGGCGGUGGAGGGCACGGCACUGUCUACAAAGGGAUUUUGUCAGACUUGCAUGUUGUGGCCAUCAAGAAAUCAAAGAUUGUGGUGAAGAGAGAAAUUGAUGAGUUCAUAAAUGAGGUUGCCAUACUCUCGCAGGUCAUUCAUAAGAAUAUUGUGAAGCUUCAUGGCUGUUGCCUUGAGACAGAAGUUCCUUUAUUGGCCUAUGAGUUCAUUUCCAAUGGAACCCUCAACGAUCAUCUUCACAUAGAAGCACUGAACUCACUGCCUUGGAGAGAUAGGUUAAGGAUCGCAAGUGAAAUAGGCAAAGCUCUUGCUUACCUCCAUUCUGGUAUUUCAGCCCCCGUAUUACAUAGAGAUAUCAAGCCUUCCAACAUACUUCUUGAUGAUGCCUUGACAGCGAAAGUGUCAGACUUUGGUGCUUCAAGGUAUAUUCUUAUGGAUCAAACAGGGGUAACAACAACUUUAGUGCAAGGAACUAGAGGGUAUUUGGAUCCUAUGUACUAUUAUACAGGUCGACUGUCGGAUAAGAGUGAUGUUUAUAGUUUUGGAGUCCUCCUUAUUGAGUUGCUUACUAGGAAGAAGCCAACUUUGUAUGUGUCAUCCGAAGGUGAUGGUCUUGCUGCACAUUUUGCAACAUUGUUUGCGGAGGGCAAUCUGUUGAAAAUAGUAGAUCCGCAGGUUGUAAAGGAGGGAGGUAGGGAAGUCGAAGAAGCAGCCGCUCUAGCUGUGUCGUGCAUAAAAUUAAGAGGAGAGGAGCGGCCAACUAUGAGGCAGGUGGAGAUGGCAUUGGAAGCCCUAGUUGCACCGGGGGAACAUGCUAUCGAAGAUUUGGCAGCAAAAACAGAUGAGGAGAAACAUGUUGCACUGAGUUAUCCAUCGGCUAGCAGAAGAUCAAACAUAGAGGACCCGAGCAGAUGUUAUAGCCUAGAAGAAGAGUUCAUGUUUUCUGCGAGAUACCCUCGAUAG